rnacentral:rRNA from 1 species
UACGUAGGGUGCGAGCGUUGUCCGGAAUUACUGGGCGUAAAGAGCUCGUAGGUGGUUUGUCGCGUUGUUCGUGAAAACUCACAACUCAAUUGUGGGCGUGCGGGCGAUACGGGCAGACUGGAGUACUGCAGGGGAGACUGGAAUUCCUGGUGUAGCGGUGGAAUGCGCAGAUAUCAGGAGGAACACCGGUGGCGAAGGGCGGGGUCUC